rnacentral:rRNA from 1 species
GGCUGCAAGUCGAACGGGUUUGGUAGCAAUACCAGACCAGUGGCGUAAGGGUGAGUAAGGCGACGGCAACCAACCCCAAGGUUGGGCAUAGCCGCGGGAAACUGCGGGUAAUUCCCAGCGAAGUUCGUACCGGGCAUCCGGUGUGAACCAAAGCUCAGGCGCCGUGGGACGGGCCGUCGUGGUAUUAGGUAGUUGGCGGGGUAAUGGCCCACCAAGCCUCUGAUGCCUACCGGGCGUGCGAGCGUGGCCCGGCACACUGGGACUGAGACACUGCCCAGACUCCUACGGGAGGCUGCAGUCGAGAAUCUUCGGCAAUGGGCGCAAGCCUGACCGAGCGACGCCGCGUGGAGGAUGAAGGCCUUCGGGUUGUAAACUCGUCGAGGGGGAGGAAGGGGUA